ensembl:lncRNA
CAAUCAAGGACCCAAAACUUCAAAACUAUGACGCAAAGUAAAACUUUUCUCUUGAUAUAAAGCUUACAAAAGGCAGACUGAUCACAUUGUUUAAAGAAGGGGAGACUCCAUGCAUUAGUCCUUGACCAGCUCAGUGCCUAUGGAUUCUGUGACCUGGCUUAGGGCUCCUACUAACUCCAAGCUAGCUCUGAUUUUUGUUUCCCCUUGGCAGGGGGCAGCAGAGGUGCCAACCAACUAAUGGACCUGAAUGUAGACAAUGCCAAUACCUGGGGAGAGAAGGUGCCUGAGUGAGAAACAGACACAGAGAGGGUGCUGGCUGGACAUACACUCCUGAAAAGUCUGAAGGACAUGUACUCUGGCUUGAGAAGUCAGGCUUGGCAGUUGUGGCUUCCAGAGUCGGCUGGAUCUGAAAGUGCUCAGACUAAGGCCGGCAGUCUGUUUGAAUUCCUGCUCCACUGCCUACAUCCAGAACAGAUCACUGGUCAGAUUGAUUUUCCCAUCUACAGAUGUGAACAAGAAUAUGCCUCAGCUUGAACAGUUGCCACAGUCUGGGGUGUACAGAAAGAGAGGCCUCUGAAUUAAGAGUGUACCUCCAAAAACCUUAGAAGUUACGUGGAGAAAAUUGUGACUUGCUGG